UCUCGAUUGGUCUAGUGGUCAGGAUACCUGCUUGUCAUUGAAGGUCUAUUUAGCGUCCUGGUGUGGAUACAAAAUACGAACUAUUAAAACAAGCCGCAGGUGGCCGGGGUUCGAUUCCCCGAUCGAGAG